rnacentral:rRNA from 1 species
GACAGAGGGGGCAAGCGUUGCUCGGAAUUACUGGGCGUAAAGGGCGCGUAGGCGGGAUGGCAAGUCGGUCGUGAAAUCCCUCGGCUCAACCGAGGAACGUCGAUCGAUACUGCUGUUCUUGAGGAUUGCAGAGGAGACUGGAAUUCCCGGUGUAGCGGUGAAAUGCGUAGAGAUCGGGAGGAACAUCAGUGGCGAAGGCGGCCAUCUGGGACAACACUGACGCUGAAGCACGAAAGCGUGGGGAGCAAACAGG